rnacentral:piRNA from 1 species
UUCCAUGGUGAUUUUAAGCUCAGUCAAAUA